AGUGGAUGGUAAUAUGGUAAUAAAAGGGUUGAGGGGUGUAGCUGGAUGGUAAUAUGGUAACGAGGGAGUUGAGGAGUAGCUGGAUGGUAAUAUGGUAACGAGGGGGUUGAGGAGUAGAUGGAUGUUAAUAUGGUAACGAGGGGUUGAGGAGUAGAUGAUGUUAAUAUGGUAACGAGGGGGUUGAGGAGUAGCUGGAUAUUAAUAUGGUAACGAGGGGGUUGAGGAGGAUCUGGAUGGUAAUAUGGUAACGAGGGGGUUGAGGAGUAGCUGGAUGGAUGGUAAUAUGGUAACAAGGGCGUUGAGGAGUAGCUGGAUGGUAAUAUGGUAACGAGGGGGUUGAGGUGUAGCUGGAUGGUAAUAUGGUAAUGGGGGGUUGAGGAGUAGAUGAUGUUAAUAUGGUAACGAGGGGUUGAGGAGUAGCUGGAUGGUAAUAUGGUAACGAGGGGGUUGAGGAGUAGCUGGAUAUUAAUAUGGUAACGAGGGGUUGAGGAGGAUCUGGAUGGUAAUAUGGUAACGAGGGGGUUGAGGCGUAGCUGGAUGGUAAUAUGGUAACGAGGGGGUUGAGGUGUAGCUGGAUGGUAAUAUGGUAAUGGGGGGGUUGAGGAGUAGCUGGAUGGUAAUAAGGUAAUGAAAGGGUUGAGGAGUAGCUGGAUGGUAUUACAGUAAUGAGGGGAUUGAGGAGGAGCUGGAUGGUAAUAUGUUAAUUAGGAGAUUGAGGAGGAGCUGGAUGGUAAUAUGGUAAUAAAAGGGUUGAGGAGUAGCUGGAUGGUAAUAUGGUAACGAGGGGGUUGAGGAGUAGCUGGAUGGUAAUAUGGUAUUAAAAGGGUUGAGGAGUAGCUAGAUGGUAAUAUGGUAACGAGGGGGUUGAGGAGUAACUGGAUGGUAAUAUGGUAAUGGGGGGGUUGAGGAGUAGCUGGAUGGUAAAAAGGUAAUGAGGGGUUUGAGGCGUAGCUGGAUGUUAUUACAGUAAUGAGGGGUUUGAGGGGUAGCUGGAUGGUAAUAUGGUAACGAGGGGGUUGAGGAGUAGCUGGAUAGUAAUAUGGUAACGAGGGGGUUGAGGUGUAGCUGGAUGGUAAUAUGGUAAUAAAAGUGUUGAGGAGUAGCUGGAUGGUAAUAUGGUAACGAGGGGGUUGAGGAGUAGCUGGAUGGUAAUAUGGUAAUGGGGGUUGAGGAGUAGCUGGAUUGUAAUAAGGUAAUGAGGGGUUGAGGAGUAGCUGGAUGGUAAUAUGGUAAUAAAAGGGUUGAGGAGUAGCUGGGUGGUAAUAUGGUAAUGGGGGGGUUGAGGAGUAGCUGGAUGGUAAUAAGGUAAUGAGGGGUUUGAGGAGUAGCUGGAUGGUAUAAUAGUAGUGAGGGG
ensembl:lncRNA